UACUCUACUCCUACGGGAGGCAGCAGUGGGGAAUAUUGCGCAAUGGGCGAAAGCCUGACGCAGCAACGCCGCGUGCGGGAUGACGGCCUUCGGGUUGUAAACCGCUUCAGCAGGGACGAAACUGACGGUACCUGCAGAGAGACCGCCC
rnacentral:rRNA from 1 species